UACGUAGGGUGCAGGCGUUAAUCGGAAUUACUGGGCGUAAAGGGUGCGUAGGCGGGUCUUUAAGUCAGGGGUGAAAUCCUGGAGCUCAACUCCAGAAACUGCCUUUGAUACUGAAGAUCUUGAGUCCGGGAGAGGUGAGUGGGAACUGCGAGUGUAGAGGUGAAAUUCGUAGAUAUUAGGAAGAACACCAGUGGCGAAGGCGGCUCACUGGCCCGGUACGUGACGCUGAG
rnacentral:rRNA from 1 species